rnacentral:tRNA from 1 species
GGGAGUGUAGCUCAGUGGUAGAGCCUUUGUCCAGUAUGCUCAAGGCUCUGGGUUUGAGCCCCAUCACUUCCA